GAUGAACGCUGGCGGCGUGCCUAAUACAUGCAAGUCGAGCGAACAGAUGAGGAGCUUGCUCCUCUGACGUUAGCGGCGGACGGGUGAGUAGCACGUGGAUAACCUACCUAUAAGACUGGGAUAACUUCGGGAAACCGGAGCUAAUACCGGAUAAUAUAUUGAACCGCAUGGUUCAAUAGUGAAAGACGGUUUUGCUGUCACUUAUAGAUGGAUCCGCGCCGCAUUAGCUAGUUGGUAAGGUAACGGCUUACCAAGGCAACGAUGCGUAGCCGACCUGAGAGGGUGAUCGGCCACACUGGAACUGAGACACGGUCCAGACUCCUACGGGAGGCAGCAGUAGGGAAUCUUCCGCAAUGGGCGAAAGCCUGACGGAGCAACGCCGCGUGAGUGAUGAAGGUCUUCGGAUCGUAAAACUCUGUUAUUAGGGAAGAACAAAUGUGUAAGUAACUGUGCACGUCUUGACGGUACCUAAUCAGAAAGCCACGGCUAACUACGUG
rnacentral:rRNA from 1 species